rnacentral:rRNA from 1 species
CAAAAUUUUAACGUUCAAUUUCCAUUGCCAUUCAGGGUGGGCAGAGUUUGAUCCUGGCUCAGUCGUAACAAGGUAACCGUAAGUCGUAACAAGGUAGCCGUAGAGUUUGAUCCUGGCUCAGCACAGAAAGUCGUAACAAGGUAACCGUAAGUCGUAACAAGGUAACCGUAGGUCGUAACAGGGUACUGUAGAGUUUGAUCAUGGCUCAGACAAGUCGUAACAAGGUAACCGUAUGGUUGUAACAAGAUAACGGUAGAGUUUGAUCAUGGCUCAGGAUCAAAUAAGUCGUAACAAGGUAGCCG